CCUACGUGUGGCAGCAGUGAGGAAUAUUGGUCAAUGGGCGCGAGCCUGAACCAGCCAAGUAGCGUGAAGGAUGACUGCCCUACGGGUUGUAAACUUCUUUUAUAAAGGAAUAAAGUGAGGCACGUGUGCCUUUUUGUAUGUACUUUAUGAAUAAGGAUCGGCUAACUCCGUGCCAGCAGCCGCGGUAAUACGGAGGAUCCGAGCGUUAUCCGGAUUUAUUGGGUUUAAAGGGAGCGUAGAUGGGUUGUUAAGUAAGUUGUGAAAGUUUGCGGCUCAACCGUAAAAUUGCAAUUGAUACUGGCAGUCUUGAGUACAGUUGAGGUAGGCGGAAUGCGUGGUGUAGCGGUGAAAUGCUGAGAUAUCACGAAGAACUCCGAUUGCGAAGGCAGCUUACUAAGCUGCCACUGACAUUGAUGCUCGAAAGUGUGGGUAUCAAACAGGAUUAGAUACCCUUGUAGUC
rnacentral:rRNA from 1 species